CCUGUAGAUGGGUACACACUAAGAUCAAUGAGAAUGUAAUACAGUGGAUCCAGCCAAUGUACCAGUCUGCAGAAGGCUGCACAGUAAUACUUUCUCUGGAAUCACUAUUGGGGUUAUUACAUCAGGGGAAGAGGAUCAUUGAAAAUGUAAUUUCAAAAGUAUCCCAGUUAGGAACAUUCUCCAUCUUUUUCCAACUCGAUUCUAAACUCUAAAACAAUUCCCAAUUGAUUGAAUUAACAUCAUGUUGCAUAGAGAAGGUAAAUGUGUAUAGAUAUCAAUACUUUGCUCUAAAACAAUUCACGAUUAAUUUAAUUGACAUCAUAUUGCAUAGAGAAGGUAAAUGUGUAUAAAUAUCUGGUUUGUGAGAAUUUAAUAUGCCUGGCUUUACAGCUGCACCAAC